rnacentral:rRNA from 1 species
UACAGGGGGCUCGAGCGUUAGUCGGAAUCACUGGGCGUAAAGCGUGCGCAGGCGGUUUGUUAAGUCUGAUGUGAAAGCCCCGGGCUCAACCUGGGAACUGCAUUGGAAACUGGCAAGCUCGAGUAUGGCAGAGGGGGGUGGAAUUCCGCGUGUAGCAGUGAAAUGCGUAGAGAUGCGGAGGAACACCGAUGGCGAAGGCAGCCCCCUGGGCCAAUACUGACGCUCAGGCA